rnacentral:rRNA from 1 species
GGUGGAGCGCUUAGAAGUGAGAAUGCCGGUAUGAGUAGCGAAAACAGAGGUGAGAAUCCUCUGCGCCGAAAGCCUAAGGGUUCCUGAGGAAGGUUCGUCCGCUCAGGGUUAGUCGGGACCUAAGCCGAGGCCGAAAGGCGUAGGUGAUGGACAACAGGUUGAGAUUCCUGUACCACCUUCUUCCCGUUUGAGCGAUGGGGGGACGCAGGAGGAUAGGGCGAGCAGGCGGCUGGAAGAGCCUGUCCAAGCCGUGAGGCUGAUCCGCAGGCAAAUCCGCGGAUCAUAAGGCCAAGCGGUGACGGCGACGGAUUGAUCCGGAAGUCCCCGAUUUCACACUGCCAAGAAAAGCCUCUAGCGAGGGAAGAGGUGCCCGUACCGCAAACCGACACAGGUAGGCGAGGAGAGAAUCCUAAGGCGCGCGGGAGAACUCUCGUUAAGGAACUCGGCAAAAUGACCCCGUAACUUCGGGAGAAGGGGUGCUCUUUGGGGUGAAGAGCCCUGAAGAGCCGCAGUGAAAAGGCCCAAGCGACUGUUUAUCAAAAACACAGGUCUCUGCGAAGCCGAAAGGCGACGUAUAGGGGCUGACACCUGCCCGGUGCUGGAAGGUUAAGGGGAGCGCUUAGCGGAAGCGAAGGUGCGAACCGAAGCCCCAGUAAACGGCGGCCGUAACUAUAACGGUCCUAAGGUAGCGAAAUUCCUUGUCGGGUAAGUUCCGACCCGCACGAAAGGUGUAACGACUUGGGCGCUGUCUCAACGAGAGACCCGGUGAAAUUAUACUACCUGUGAAGAUGCAGGUUACCCGCGACAGGACGGAAAGACCCCGUGGAGCUUUACUGCAGCCUGAUAUGGAAUUUUGGUAUCGCUUGUACAGGAUAGGUGGGAGCCUGGGAAGCCGGAGCGCCAGCUUCGGUGGAGGCGACGGUGGGAUACCACCCUGGCGGUAUUGAAAUUCUAACCCGCACCCCUUAGCGGGGUGGGAGACAGUGUCAGGUGGGCAGUUUGACUGGGGCGGUCGCCUCCCAAAAGGUAACGGAGGCGCCCAAAGGUUCCCUCAGAAUGGUUGGAAAUCAUUCGGAGAGUGCAAAGGCACAAGGGAGCUUGACUGCGAGACGGACAGGUCGAGCAGGGACGAAAGUCGGGCUUAGUGAUCCGGUGGUUCCGCAUGGAAGGGCCAUCGCUCAACGGAUAAAAGCUACCCCGGGGAUAACAGGCUGAUCUCCCCCAAGAGUCCACAUCGACGGGGAGGUUUGGCACCUCGAUGUCGGCUCAUCGCAUCCUGGGGCUGUAGUCGGUCCCAAGGGUUGGGCUGUUCGCCCAUUAAAGCGGUACGCGAGCUGGGUUCAGAACGUCGUGAGACAGUUCGGUCCCUAUCCGUCGCGGGCGGAGGAAAUUUGAGAGGAGCUGUCCUUAGUACGAGAGGACCGGGAUGGACGCACCGCUGGUGUACCAGUUGUCCCGCCAGGGGCACCGCUGGGUAGCUAUGUGCGGACGGGAUAAGCGCUGAAAGCAUCUAAGCGUGAAGCCCCCCUCAAGAUGAGAUUUC